rnacentral:lncRNA from 1 species
AUGAAUGCAUAGGAGGGAGGAGCUGCAGAACUGAGUAACCUUGAAAAUAACUGCAAACUUUAAGACUAAAGGCAAAAGUCAUUGUGAAUUUGCAUUUUAAUUUAUUCCCUGCUUGUUUCUUACACAAUUAUGGCUUUACAAUUUUUUAAAUUGCUAUGCAUACAGAUUGACAUUGGACAAAUGAGUAAACUAUAAACAGAAGAAAGAAAUGUGCCAAAGAACUUCUCAUGGUAUUCCUGCUGCUUUUGUGGACUGGAACUGAUGGAUAGAGCCUUGGGGUUUCUUCUGGAUCAAACUGACACUCCUGAGUCAUAAAUGGUGUUUUCAAGCGGAUUGAGCUGCAGCUGCUGAUUUGUGUGAACCGAACUGUUAAUAUCCUGAUGACAAAGAUUGGAAUUACCCCAAACAACUAUUUCUAAAUGGAUCCACAUCUCCCAUUUACCUUAUUAAUCUUUUCUUUCCACUAUCUCUGGUGGACAGUGGGCUAAAAGAGCAGUUAAAGAAUUUAAGACUCCCUUAUUAAAGUAGGUUUUUAAAAGUCUAAACCUACAGAAAUUGCCAAAUAACUCAUUAAUUAUAACUAUUUCUAGAACAAAUGGAAGAAGAAUAAAAGGGAGAAAACAAUUUACCCCAAAACUUUGAAAUGCACAAUACAACGGAAAUAAUCUUCUAUUUUAUCUCUACUAUUACUACCAACAAUGGGCUGAUGGUAAUAGAAGAAAGUUUUCAAAGUUUCAGAAAACAUGUACCCUGUCUUGCAUUCUAUACAUAGACAAAGAAUAGGUUAAAAUCAAAGCAAAAUACUUUCUGAUAGACAGGAUUUAAAAGUGAAUCUCUUAAAACUUCUGCCUCAAUAAGAUACAGCAUGAAGACACCAACCAUAGGAAAGGAGUUACUCUAGUCUUUUUCAGAUCACUGGAAUGAAAAAAACUAAGAACACUGCUUUACAAAUAAAUGGUACUUGGUUUUGUUGUU